UAUGGCGACAGCCACUUGUGAUUUGUUAAUGGCAUUGAUCGCAUGUAGCGUGUACGAUAAUGAGUUUAUGGAGAGAGAUUGUAGGCACGCUUGUGGACAGUGCAUAAAGUACAGCGAAAUGUGAAAAAAUCAAAGAUCACAUGUGCAAGACGAGCACGUUGUUACAACCUAUAAAGAAGUGUUUUAUUCCAGUCAUCAGACGGAAAAAUUGUGGAAGGUGUGACUUUACUGAGGAUUUUGGAUGAUGUGAGAGACUCCAUCCGUACUGAAAAGUCACCUUCAAGGGAUUUCAUCAUCAGUGACAGUCGGCACCUGACAAUGAAGUGUUGACUAUGUGUGUGGCCUCUGAUCACACAUACUGUAAGACUGAACUUGAUCUGCUCUUUACUCACAUAAUGGUUUAUAGGACCUUUGGGGAAAGUUUCCAUAUAAAAAUGAGUAACGCAUAAAGUUUUUAUGGUGAUAUGGAAAUUCAACUGUUGUUAAUAAAGAAAGCAAAUGACUUGCAUUCCUUGUGUCUGUUCAUACCUUUAUCCUAGUAUAUAAAACUAACAAACUUUAACUGAAAUAUGCCAUUGCUACUUUUCAUAAUUAAAAGUAUCAGUAUCCACUGAAGUCCUGUGUAAAAGUGAAUACGUAAACACAGUAGUACAGUAUUGUUAGUUUUCUGAAGACCUUCACUCUGUACUGCAAUGGAAUUUUUGCAUGUGUAUUACUCAGUUGUGGCAAAAAUGCACUAAAUAAAAAAUAGCAAAAUGUUGAACUGGAA